UCUCCGUUGGCGAACCAGCGGAGGGAUCAUUACCGAGUUUACAACUCCCAAACCCCUGUGAACAUACCAUUUGUUGCCUCGGCGGUGCCUGCUUCGGCAGCCCGCCAGAGGACCCAAACCCUUGAUUUUAUACAGUAUCUUCUGAGUAAAUGAUUAAAUAAAUCAAAACUUUCAACAACGGAUCUCUUGGUUCUG
rnacentral:misc_RNA from 1 species